rnacentral:piRNA from 1 species
CCACAUCUGCAGUCUUGCACAUGUGCCC